ACUUCUUUUCUGAGGGAAGAAUUCUGACGGUACCUCAGGAAUAAGCAUCGGCUAUCUACGUGCCAGCAGCCGCGGUAAGACGUAGGAUGCAAGCGUUAUCCGGAAUUAUUGGGCAUAAAGAGUUCGUAGGCGGUUUGUUAAGUUGGAUGUUAAAUUUUUGAGCUCAACUUAAAAAAAGUAUCCAAAACUGGCAAACUGGAGACUGGUAGAGGUAAGUGGAAUUCUGCAUGUAGGGGUAAUAUCCGUAGAUAUGCAGAGGAACACCAAAAGCGAAGGCAGCUUACUGGACCAGUUCUGACGCUCAAGAACGAAAGCGUGGGUAGCGAACGGGAUUAGAUACCCCGGUAGUCCACGCCCUAAACGAUGAACACUAGGUAUUGGAGGUCUCGACCCCUUCAGUGCCGACGCAAAUGCAAUAAGUGUUCCGCCUGGGUAGUACGAGCGCAAGCUUAAAACUCAAAGGAAUAGACGGGGACCCACACAAGCGGUGGAGCAUCUGGUUUAAUUCGACAAUAAGCGAGGAACCUUACCAAGGCUUGACAUCCCGAGAAGAUCGCCGAAAGGUGAUUGUGCCGCUAGGAACUCGGUGACAGGUGCUGCAUGGUUGUCGUCAGCUCGUGCCUUGAGGUGUUCGGUUAAGUCCGUGAACGAGCGCAACCCUUGUCUCAAGUUGCAUAUUUCUUGAGAGACUGCCGGUUUCAAAUCGGAGGAAGGUAAGGAUGACGUCAAAUCAGCAUGGCCCUUAUGUCUUGGGCGACACAGGUGCUACAAUGGCCGGUACAAUGGGCAGCGAAGGAGCAAUCUGGAGCAAAUCCUCAAAACCGGUCCAAGUUCGAAUUGAAGGCUGCAACUCGCCUUCAUGAAGUUGGAAUCGCUAGUAACCGCAUAUCAGCCAUCGGUGCGGUGAAUCAGUUCCUGGGUCUUGUACUCACCGCCCGUCAAGUCAUGAAAGAUGGGGGUGCCCGAAGUACCCUUAG
rnacentral:rRNA from 1 species